CACACUGGUGCACAUCUCAUGUUUAUUUUUUAAAAACUUGGUAAACAAAAUUGAUAAGAUAUGCGCUGGUACCAACACGUCAACGCCAAACUCUCGUGCGAAAGUUUAUCUGCGCCCCCUCUCUCGCCUUCUUCAUUCAUCUAAACGUGUAUAUGUGCUCUAGCGCGGAUUCAAACUCGGCUCUGCUGCCCUGGCUCUACCGCGCGUGUGUGUGUGUGUGUAAAAGAAGUUUAUUGGCUUAAAAUAUUUGUACAAAGGGCCAAAGGGCGCAGCCUCUCUGGCAAGUGAAAUUUUUGCAGUCCGAACAGCAGGUGAAAUUAAAUCGAAAUCAAAAAAAGUUAAGAGGAAAAACAGUUAGUUACAAGAAGUGAAGAAGAAGCAGCAGCUCAGCCGCAACUCCAUCGAAGACGCGCAGGGCAAAAAGUGACGCAUAAGAAACGUUGCUAAUUACAAAAGCCAGCACAUCAGAAUGGAGCUGGAGCCGCGGGUGGCCAUCCUGCAGGAUCUGCGUCUACAGACCUUCGAUUCCAUACGCUUCGCCUCGUACAGGACAGCCUCGAAGCUGCGCUACAUACAGAAGUCGACAAAUCUGCACUUGGUGGACAUUUGGAACGUGAUCGAGGCAUUCCGCGAGAAUGGACUGAACACUCUGGAGCCACAGAGCGAGGUCAGUGUGGCACGGCUGGAGACGCUCGUGUCCUCGCUGUAUCACAAUCUGAACAAACGUCUGCCCACCGCCCAGCAGGUGCCGGUGGACUCCAAGGCGGGUCUCUUGCUCAACUGGCUGCUUGCUGCCUAUACAAGUGAUAACUCGGGAAAGAUUCGUGUGUUCUCCAUCAAAGUGGCACUGGCCACCAUGUGCUCUGGCAAGCUGGUGGACAAACUUAGAUAUAUCUUUUCACAGAUUUCGGAUGGAGCCGGACAGCUGGUGGCCUGGAAGUUGGGGGAAUUCCUGCGGGAGGUGCUGGCAUUGCCGGCGGCUGUCUAUGAGUCGCCCACAUUCCAUUACAAGGAGGGGCUCGAGGAGGAGAUCUUUCCGGCGGAGAACAAGGUGACGGUGAACGAUUUUAUGGCAACACUUAUGUCCGAACCGGGCCCCUCGUGCCUCGUGUGGCUGCCACUGCUGCACAGGCUGGCCACCGUGGAGACGAUUGUGCAUCCGACGAUCUGCUCUGUUUGCCACAAGGAAAACUUCACCGGAUUUCGUUACCGUUGUCAGCGGUGCCACGCCUACCAAUUGUGCCAGGAGUGCUUUUGGCACGGCAAGACAUCGCUGAAUCACCAAAACGAUCACGAGGUCAAGGAGUACUCGAGCUACAAGUCGCCCAGCAAACAGAUUGGUCACUCGCUGCGCAAGAGCUUCCGCUGUGUGCCCGAGAAGACGACGCAAGUGUUGCCACGGUUCCCGGACCAGCCCGAAAAGACCCUCAACCUGUCGCACAUCGUGCCGCCCUCGCCCUUGCCCUCGCACAACGGUUUCAACGAUCCCACGCUGGCCCUCGCCGGCGCCCACCACGGCCACCUACCGCCCGGCAUCUUCGACCGCUCCAGCACCCUCGACUCGCGGGCCACCGGCCGCAGCAUAGACAGUGCCGCCUGCACUGGCGGCGGCGGCACCACCAUCUCUAGGCUAGCCGCCGCCUCGGCCAACGAUGAGGAGCAUCGCCUGAUUGCCCGCUAUGCGGCACGUCUGGCCCAGGAGAACCGAGCACCUUCGAAUAUGUCGGAGAGUGCCACGCCCAUUGGCACGGACAACUCGCGUGCCCAGCGUGAGCUGAUCGCCCAGUUGGAGUCGAAGAACAAGGAGAUUAUGCGGGAGAUAGCCCGCCUGCGUCGCCAGCAGGAGACCGAGCAGAUGGCCCCCGAGAAUCCGGCCCUGAUCAACGAGUUGCGUGCGUUGCGACAGCGCAAAGGGGAGCUGGAGGGUCAUCUCGGUGCGUUGCAGGACUCGCGCCGCCAGCUAAUGGAGCAACUGGAGGGACUAAUGCGAAUGCUGAAGAACCAGCAGACUGCCUCGCCCCGGUCCACGCCCAACUCGAGUCCUCGCUCGGGCAAGUCGCCGCCCAUGCCGGGCGGAGGGGGAGCCGGCAUCCUUGGCACUUCGCCGAUGAGUGCCCUGCAUGCCCAGCAAAUGCAGCAUCCAAUGGGUGGACCUGGAGUGAGGGUCAGCCAGCAGCAAAUGAUGCAGGCCCAGCAGCAACAACAGAUGCAGCAGCAGCAGCAACAGCAGGGACAUGGACCCUUCAGCCAGAGCCAACUGGAUCAGCUCAAUUUGAUCAGCACCGACAUGCGCAGCGCCUUUGCGGCCAAUGGCAGUGCAACGCCACCGCCAAUGCGCACCAACAGUCCCACCAAUGCCAGUCCCAGUCCAGCCGAUGCCGAGCUCAAUGAGGCCGCCGAUAAUAUAACCUCGGCCAUAACCCACAUGGUCAGCGACCUGAAUGCAGGACGGGCAGCGGGACCUGGACAAAGUGGAAGCUCCCUGCCCCAGGCUCGUUUCAUACUGCCGCUGGAAUAUCGUCACGUCGAGGGCGGCGAGUCCUCGGGCUCGAGUCAGUGCGAGUGUAACGAGUGCAACUGCCAGGUGUAUGAGGAGAUCUUCCGCACCGACGGGGAGUACGAGUGCCAAGGCGCCUCUGCCGUCGGGACGACGCAGCCAGGCUCUGAUUCAGAUAUGGAUGAUUCCCGCUUGUCGCCGGUUCAUUUCGAUUAUACUUUUGGCCUUGGCGAUGAGCAGUCGCAGGUGAACCGCAUUCUGGGCUAUCGGAACCAUCCCGAACUCUUCAUCGACGAUGACCAGGCGGGGUUCCCGGGCCUGCACGAGAUCGGUGAGACAAUCGAUGAACUGCAGUUGAUAAUGCACGCUUAUAUCAUGAAGUAUAGUUUGAAUAUAUAAUCCGUUCGUCGUUAGGUUACAAGAUAUACUCCUCGUUCAGAUUUCGACGAAUCUCAAUCAUAUAACCAAGAGUGGACCGAAAAGGCAAAUGCGAAUAGCCAAUGGCAGGAGCAGUUUGCACAAUGGAGUCUUAAUUCACAAAAUAACUAAUUCGUCUCAGUGGAUAAGUGCAGGAGGAUACCCACCAGGAGAACAGCAGCGGCAGCAGCAGCAGCAGCAGCAGCAAUGGACUGGAACACACUGGGUUGGAGGAGUACUCGUACGCGGCAGCUGAUACCAUGCAGAAGGCGACUCUCGCUUAGCUUUUUAUCUUAACUCAUAUGUUGACUUAGAGCAAUUUAUUUAUUGAUUAUUUUAUGGGGUAGUCGUAGCCUACACUAAUCCUUAAUCCUUACAAUUUAUACUUUUGCGCAGCGGUAUAGUACCGCACCUACAUAUUUAUAUUAUUAUAUUUUAUGCAAACACACAGUAAAGAAGCAAUGAAUAAGACUCGCAGUUGCACUGCACUCUGAAGUCGCAAAUCUCUUGAAUCUCGUGGAAACUUUCGAUGUUCGUACUCCCCAUGAAGCAGAUGGGAGCAUGGAUAGAUGGAGAGUUUUUUUAAUUUAGGUUUUUACGAUUUCGUAUUUGGCUUUUAGACUUUUAAGCGCCUGCAUAAGCGGAUAUUUAUUAACAAAG